GUAUAGUCAUGAUCGGAACCCUUACCGGAAGCCAAUGGGGUAUCUAUGAUGCCUGCAAAGUUUUCAUGGGCGUACCAACUACUGGCAGCGCCGCUCCUGCUGCCACUGAGCUUGCCAAUGCUUGAAUCCAAAACGGAUGGAUGUCAAACUAUCAAAAGACUUCACACUAUCAAUUCUACAAGUAGUCAUUUUUUUAUUUUUUGUUACUUUUUUUGUAAAAUUAUCAUAUCAGUUAGUCAAAAACAAAGAAGGCAGCAGAUUAUAUUUAUCAGGGAUUAUGCGGAAAGCCGAGUUUCUGAC
rnacentral:lncRNA from 1 species